AGGCAGCUCUCCAUUCCCCUUGCUUCUCCAACCGGCCUUCUUGCUUCCUGAAAACAGGACUUAAAUACCCAUCCCUCCAGCCCCAGCGCACAUUCCCCCUGAACCAGCACUAUGAAGGCUGCGCAUGGCCUCCUCCUGCUUCUGGGUCUCCUCUUCCUCUUGACGGAGCUGCCCCCUUCGAUGGGAGAAUUAGUGAAGCCUGGGCUGUGUCCCAGGGCGACAACAGGUGCCAUUCGUCCUUGUACCCAGAGGUGUGAAAGUGACGAGGAUUGUCGGGGAAAGAAGAAGUGUUGCCUUUUUGCUUGCAGAGUUGUGUGCAAGGAUCCUGUCUAAGGAUCCUCUCGGUGAUGGCGGGGCCUUUCUGCACGGGAUCUUCAGCCUUUCCAAAUUGUGGCCAGUGCAUCAAUUUGACCCAAAGACCCUCCUUCUGUCCUGGGCCACUCUGCAGAGACCCUCUCCCCCCCCCAACCCACGCUGGAUUUCUUCCUUCUUUUCUGCAAUAAAGCAUUGGCUCCUCCUUCCCA